rnacentral:lncRNA from 1 species
UUUUCUUCUCAUGAGAGGGGAUGAUUUCUUGAAAGCAAGUAGCUUUUUCCUCUCUCUCUGCAGCAAAUGUUAUUUCCUUUGGAGGAAGAUAAUACCAAAUGAGACCACAGGCAUGAUGUCAAAAAGCCAUGAAAUGGGAAGGAACUGCAGCUGUUGAGGAAGCAAGAUGUAACCCAAUGCCUCCUAGACAAUCCAGAAAAAGUCAUGUCAAGUGGGACUGCCCCCCCUUCAAAGUCCUAAUCCUAACACCUCAUAAUGGAAGAGAUGAGAGGGUCUUAGGGAGGCAGUCAACUGAAAUGAGAUCUUAGAUUGCUGUAAUUCAGCAUGGUUAAUAUUCUUACAUGGGGAAGAAAUGGGGAAGGAGAGGGGGGAGGAAAGGAAGAGAGAGACAAUUUGCAAGGCUCUUUAAACCAGAGAAUAGUAGAGACUGCCGAAACUGGGGAUGGGGGGAGAAGUACACAUCACAUUCUUCCUCACAGGAAGCAAACUUGCUGGCAUCUCGUCUUGGAUCUUGGAGUCCAGAACAAAGGACUCUAAGCCACCCAUGACAUAGUGUUUUGUUGCAGCUGGCCCUGACUAUUUCAUCCCCUCUGCUGUUCAACUAUAAUCCUCAAACACAUUUCCCCAGGUGAUUGCAAUUGCUUUCAGAAAAAAAGAGAGAGAAAGAAAAAAAAACUGACGAAAUGAAGAAUGUGAAGGAGAAAGAUUAAUCAAACUAUGGACAAUGAGGGCAUGAUCCACAUGAAUUAAUCCUACCCAAGCCAUCUCACAUGUCAUUGUAUGAUGAAGAGCAAUUGCCCUACUUGAACUUGCUUGGAGUUUCUGAGUGUGGUCCAUAGCAUUUACUGAAGGUGGCAGAGAGAGGACCGGAUCAUAGAGGCAGAACUCCUUCAAAGAUAUGAUGCUAGUAGCCACCGCCUGUUUGAGACCACAGGUACCAGGAACCAGAGGUGAACAAGAUCAAGCCAGUCAACAUUGUAGCACCGAGUAGCCUUUUUUUUCCUUUGAAGAAUAUAUAUCAAAAUCUUUUGUCCAUUUCGACACUGUCUUGUCUUUUGCUGGUGAAUUGCAAACAUCCUCUGUUUGUUCUGGAUACCAAGGCUUCAGCAGUUCACAGUGGAGCAUGGAGGAUAGCCCGGCAUGACACAUAGUCACUCCUGUCAUGGCAGCUGC